ACACGGGAAAGGAGGUGGUCCAGACUUGUAUAGCAAUCGGACUCGUGAGGUGGCUGUCCGCUAGCCGCUGUCCUCGACAGUGAAAUCUCGCCCGCCGCGAGGCGGGCACCUGCAAGAUCGUCGAGACCGUGUGGCAGCGGUGCGGCGAAACCACGACAGCCACCCGACCCCCGGGGUGCCGGCCCAGUCCAGCCGGCCCGCGCGCGAGCGCGGAAGCCCCGGGGGUCGACCCUA
rnacentral:sRNA from 1 species